UACAGAGGGUGCGAGCGUUAAUCGGAAUUACUGGGCGUAAAGCGUGCGCAGACGGUUGCGUAAGUCAGAUGUGAAAGCCCCGGGCUCAACCUGGGAAUUGCAUUUGAGACUGCGUAGCUAGGGUGCGGAAGAGGGAAGCGGAAUUUCCGGUGUAGCGGUGGAAUGCGUAGAUAUCGGAAGGAACACCAGUGGCGAAAGCGGCUUCCUGGUCCAGCACCGACGUUCAGGCACGAAAGCGUGGGGAGCAAACAGG
rnacentral:rRNA from 1 species